CUAAAGCUACCACUUACUGUUGAUUGUGACGAAAUGCCAGCUGAGGCACAUGCCUUGGGAGCUAAGUGGUUGCUGCCCUUGACUACUAUGAAGACUGGUGUGGGAAGGGUCGCUUUGGAUGCACUUGAGCAGGGGUCCCCAACCCCUGAGCCAUGGAGCCGUAAGGAGCCACACAGCAGGUGAGUGGUGUCGAGUGAGGGAGUGAGGGAAGCUUCGUCUGUAUUUACAGCCACUCCCCUUUGCUCACAUUCCCGCCUGAGCUCCACCUUCUCAGAUGAGCAGCAGCAUUAGAUUCUCAUAGGAGAACGCACCCUGUUGUGAACCGUGCAUGUGAGGGAUCUAGGUUGCGCUGUUCUUAUGAGAAUCUAAUACCUAUUGAUCUGUCACUUUCUCCCAUCACGCUCAGGUGGGACCAUCCAGUUUCAGGAAAACAAGCUUAACACGCCCACUGAUUCUACAUUAUGCUCCUACCUCCCGGCAGCCUCGCCAGGCCCAGAACUCUCUCCAGUCAGCCUCUACAGACCAAGCUCAUGACUCACAAUGGCCUAUUUAGGCCCAUACCCUACCUCACGGCAGUCUCCGCAGAUGAGCCUACUGCCUCACAACAGCCUCCACAGGCACAGCUCCAUCGUUCCAAUCGCCUCUUUAGACCCAGCUCCUGCCUCCCAGCCUUGUCUCCAGGCCCUGAACUUUCUCCGUAAGUUGAGGUAGCUGGGACUGUAGGUAUACAUGAUGAUACUUGGCUAAUUUUUAAAUUGUUUUGCAGACAUGGGGUCUCACUUUGUUGGCCAGGCUGGUGUCAAACUAAUGGCCUCAAGUGACCCUUCCACCCCUGCCUCCCAUCCUCGAGGUAUGUGCCACCACAAGGAGCACUUGUUCAAUUUUCUAAAGAAAAAAUUUCUAAAGUAAGGCUGUGGGAUGAUGGCAGGAAGAUAAAAGAAAAACAGAAGAAUAAGUUAAAAUGACUUAUUCACACAUAUUCUUUUGACAGCAAGAAGAACUGUUAGUAUAUACAUUCCUUACAAACAAACAAAUGGCAGAUAAACAAUGUUGUAUAGGAACUUCAACACACACUGUACAAUAUUCCCACUUUGCUGACAUAAGUUAUGGAAAUUUCGUGGUUUACUUGAGUGUCGCUACCAGUAUUUUGCUCCUCUGAUGAUUUUUACCAACUUCCACAUCUGUUAACUUCUCUCCAAAGUAUGUCAUGUCACGACAUACUGCCGCUGCACGAACACGGCCAGUGUCUUCCUAUUAAACAUGUAGAAUGCUUUCCUAA